rnacentral:lncRNA from 1 species
UUCAGUUUUUUCUCCCCUUUUAAAAGGAGCAAAGUAAUAAUGUUCUCCAACUCAUUUUCAGCUCAUAUAAGUUUUUUUCCCCUCAAGUUCCAUUUGUUGUGGCCUGAUGCUAACAAUAAUUUCUUAAAGGUCUAAAGGAAAUGUUUUCUUCCAACAUAAUAUUCUGUACACUGCAGAAGGUCUUUCCUUUUGCCUUUUGGUAACUGGCCUAACAGAUUUUACGUUUUAUGGAAAUAAUUCCUAUGGCAUUAAGUUUUGAUUUGCUUACGAAAAAAAACUGAGACAAAUUUUUUUUUAAAUUAAGGUUAUUACAUCCACGUAUCUUUUUGUAUGUGCUUUUGAAGUUCUUGUAACAUUAAGUUACAGGGCUUUGACUCUUGGGUCUGAGAAGGAUACCAAGUCCUGUAAAAUCUUAAAUACUGACAGUAAUUAAAGCCUCAUCAUCAGGCCCCAUAGAAGAUGCCAAUCAAAAUAAACUGCAUUCCUGAGACACAGGCCAGAAAUUAAAGCUAUUCAACUCCUCAACGCCAAGGGACUACUGUGGAACAGGAAUAAACCUCAUGAAAGAGGAGAAAAUAGCAACGAAUUUUAAAAGCUGGAACACUGAUGGACAACGAUCCUGAAUUCCAGCUGAAGAGUUGACAUCAACCAGUUUGAAGCCUCCCUUCCCCCCGAAGAGGAACAAAAUCAGCAUGAGAAUACUGUUUCUUCCUCUCCUGUCCCUUGACUUCACCCUGCACUCUUUCCAAUCAUCUCCACACUUCAACCCAUUCCAAAACCCUUAAAAUCCCCAGCCCCCAACUACUCAGGGAGACGGAUUUGAGGAUUCCUCUUGUCUCCUUGAUUGGUGGCCCUAUGGUUAAACCUUUCUCUGCUACAAACCAGUGUCUCUGCGUAUUGACUUGCUGUGUGCAUUAAGUGACGAACCUAUUGUGUGGUUACAGUAGGAGUAAAAAAAAGAGAAGACUGGUUGAAAGGCUAAUUUAAAACUUGUUAUACCUCUAAUCCUCCCUCUGUACUCCCAAAACAGCAUGCUGAUUCUCUAGAGAAGGUCAAACGCUGGUCUUAGGAUUGAGUGGCCAAGCACAUUUGAGGACAAGGGUACCCUAUCAGUGAGCUAUUGCUGAACAGCAGCUAUCCCAGAACUCGGUGGCUGACAAACAAGUCACAUGUUCAUGCCCAGGUUCAGGAGAUGCUGCACUUUCUCUCAUCUACCACAGGUAUUGUGUUGAAAACAAGAGAAUUAAAAGCAAGUUUACAUCCAGAAUACUGACAGACAUCUUCUAGUCCUCUUUACCUACUUGACUCCCAGGCCAUGGGUAGCCAUGCAUACCCCUCCCAAAAAGAAAUGGGGCAGCCUUCUCUAGGACAUCUGACCAGCCAGGGGAAAGACAAAUGAUCUGACAUCAGGAGUUCCCCAAGGUAAUGGCCUGACAGACAAUCCUCAUCUUGAGAGCUGGCUGACCAUCAGGUAGCCCAGCACUCUUCAAAGGAGCA